rnacentral:lncRNA from 1 species
GGCCCCUGCUGAGCGCCCCUUCCUCCAUCCUCACCCCAGGAAGAAACAGCUUGACUCCUGGCUCUCACCUGGCUGUCCUGCACCUGGCCUCUAGUCUGUCCAACCCCGCCCUGUGUCCCCUGCAGGCGGGCUGUGCAGUCGGGAAACCUUGCACAACUGGCCCAAAAGAGGAAGCCCAGAAAGGGCUGAAGUAAACACUUGCAAAACCAACCGGCUUCCCUGCCUUCUGUGGAACUAUUAUUUGGCCCCAAGUCCCUUUGUCUUUAAUAUACGGGGACUACAAAGAUGGGUCUGUGAGCCAGGGGACGCUCCUGAGACAGCCAAGCAGGGCCGUCCUUGCGCCUCGGUGCAAACAGCGCUGCGGGCGCUCACGUCUGCGCGCUGCGUGGGAGCGCAGGCCAGGGCUGAUACCACUUCCUCCCCAGGCGGGGACCUGAGCCGCCGAGCGCGGCAGACAGCAGAGCCGGGCCCACCGCGUCCCCGCCGGCCGCCGCCCCGCGCCCCGCGCCCCGCGCCCCGCUGCGUCCCCGCGCGUCCUGCACGGCCGUCAAGGUAAGCUGCACCCGCCGCGCGGACCUUGGAGCGCAGACCGCCUCUGGCGGUCCCCAUACCCGGUGUCCUGCCCGGGGGUCCCAGGCUGCCGACCGCGUGGACCCGCCCCUCGCUUGGCCCUCGUGGUCUGCGUGUCCCCCGGCUCCCCUCUGAACUUGACCCAGCUCUCCGAAAUUGGGUUGGAACUUGAGCUGGCCUUCCCCGCGUUGUUUCAUCAGAUUUGACACAUUUCCUGCCCAGGAAAUUGUUACAAGGUCCAACAGGGAACUGAUCAGAGCUUUCGUGAGUCCCUAGGUCCAGGACCCCCAACCUGAGGGAAUCUGGAGAAAUUCUUGGGGGUGAGGUGGGCAUUUUAGAGCACUAUGGGUUAAACACAAGUCGGGUGAGAAUUAGAGUGUCCAUCGCAGUCAGAUACAUCUUAAAGUGUUUCUUUUCUUUAAAACUUUCAGACAACUGUUGCUUCUUUAAAACAAACAAAAAACUUUACCUCUAAAAUAUUCUCCCUUUUAUUUUAAAA